ACAGGCUGUCUGUUAUGACAAUUGAAUCCGCGCCGUCUUGCAAUGCGAUGCAUUGCAUUAUAACAGUUCCCCAGUUGACCAUCUCGGGAGUGGAUGGGAGUGUCCAGAGUCGUAAAAAUUAUGGAAACCGAAUGCGAAUCCCGGGCACUUGAUGGCGGCGCAUGGCGGCCAUUCGAAUGGAUCAACGAACCCGAAAAUAACAGAUGCAGAUAUGCAGCGAUAAGGUCGAACAAUUAUCAAUUGCGAUUGCUUCAUUCGAAUCGAAAUGGAGCCUCCGUUUUGGGGCUGUCUCACCCGCCUCCAACUCGUCAAACUGGUUAACUGAUGCAACUUGGCCUGCCGCUGGGCAUAAAUUGCAAUUUACGGUAAGCGGCUCGGCUUUGGCUAAAUAAUUCCCUAUCUUCGCACCAGAGGGAAGGAACGGGUUUCGGCAGUAAGUUAAUAUAUUUUAUACUCCUUAUUACUGGAAAAACGAGUGACUUUCUCGCAUGCAGCACUCACAUAUUCGCGAGAGCAUUAGUUUCUUAAUUAAUUAACAUAUAGACAAUUUAAAAACUCGUUAAACUAAUUUUCUUGAGUGAAGUGAGUUCUACAGUAGCCGCUGAUACUGGCAGCCAUUUUUAGUUUGAAUUUAUGGCUGACAUAUUAAUUAAGACGAUCUAAGAAUUAAAUCUAAAAUGUGAUCUUAUCUUUAUCACUCAGAUUCACACAGAGAGAAAGGCUUUUCAAACCAAAAUAAUGCAGAUGCCAUAAAUCCUCCUCGAUGUCUUCAUUUUCGUGUACAUCCAUUGGGCGGCCAUUACAACCACAAUUGACACAGUGAUUUACGGCAAUAAAAAUUAUUCACCUGCACAACCAGCCAACACACACAUGCGAAUCGGAGGACUACACACCUGGCGAGGAGGGGAAGUGGAGGAUUUGGGACCGCAGGCGACGCUUUGUCAUAAAAAAUAAAACGAAAUUGUCGUCAUUUUUAUGACUCCCUACCGUGGGCCCGGUUAAGAUUGAGAUUCCAGCUUUUCGGGCAGUGGGAAGUCGUAUUUUAGGCAGCUCCUUAAAAAGUCACUUGAACGGAAAACGCAAUGUAAGCCCAUAGCCAUUGGUGACUAAGGAAAUACAGAAGCCGGUGAACGGUAAAGCCCCAGAAGCUUUGUGGACUUUUCUUUUAAUGAGCUGUCAGAAUUAUCAUAAAGCAAUUAAACGCAUUUCACACUCAUAACCGUAGGCAAGUAUUCAAUCCACACGCACUGCCACGCCCCCCAAAACGAUUCCACCGCCCCUUCGGCGAGCCGUGUCUUUGCCACUGACACUAAUUGGUUGCUUUAUGGCCCAGUUAAAUCGUAAAACUCAAAUUUUAUGCUUUGUCACUGAAACGAUUAUGACGUCCGUUGCUCGUCCUCGUCGUCGUCCUCCCAAGAUCCCUCGAUUCUGCCGUCAAUCCGGGAAUCCCGUCAAGUGGCUUCAUCUCCGGCGUUCGUUGCCAUAAUGCCCCUUGAUUUAUGUCUCUGCCCGAGUUAUUUGCGCCAAUUUACAGAUUGAUUUCGGUCUUAAGAUUUUACUGUCCCCUGUUUAUUCAUCGCCUUUUGCACCUACUUAAUUUGCCUCUGCUUCUGGACCUAUGCUUUAUUGCUGUUACCAAGUUGUGGAAUCACUGGAUACCAAAACUUUUGCAUAUCUUCGCAGGGCUAAAACGAAACCAGUUUGCCUUUUAGGGUAUGAACCGAUUUUGAACCCAU
ensembl:ncRNA lncRNA:CR43617 long non-coding RNA:CR43617